GCCCGGGUGGUGGAAUAGGUAGACACAAGGGACUUAAAAUCCCUCGGCUUUUGCCGUACCGGUUCAAGUCCGGUCCCGGGCACCA
rnacentral:tRNA from 1 species